rnacentral:misc_RNA from 1 species
GAUGAAGAACGCAGCGAAAUGCGAUAAGUAAUGUGAAUUGCAGAAUUCAGUGAAUCAUCGAAUCCUUGAACGCACAUUGCGCCCGCCAGUAUUCUGGCGGGCAUGCCUGUUCGAGCGUCAUUUCAACCCUCAAGCCCCCGGGCUUGGUGUUGGGGAUCGGCGUGCCCUCGCGGCGCGCCGUCCCCUAAAUCUAGUGGCGGUCUCGCUGUAGCUUCCUCUGCGUAGUAGCAACACUCGCACUGGAUCGCAGCGCGGCCACGCCGUUAAACCCCCCACUUCUGAAAGUUUGACCUCGGAUCAGGUAGGAAUACCCGCUGAACUUAAGCAUAUCAAUAAGCGGAGGA